rnacentral:rRNA from 1 species
AUCGAACGCUGGCGGCAGGCCUAACACAUGCAAGUCGAACGGUAACAGGAAGCAGCUUGCUGCUUCGCUGACGAGUGGCGGACGGGUGAGUAAUGUCUGGGAAGCUGCCUGAUGGAGAGGGAUAACUACUGGAAACGGUAGCUAAUACCGCAUAACGUCGCAAGACCAAAGAGGGGGACCUUCCGGCCUAUUGCCAUCGGAGGUGCCCAGAUGGGAUUGGCUAGUAGGUGGGGUAACGGCUUACCUAGGCGACGAUCCCUAGCUGGUCUGAGAGGAUGACCAGCCACACUGGAACUGAGACACGGUCCAGACUCCUACGGGAGGCAGCAGUGGGGAAUAUUGCACAAUGGGCGCAAGCCUGAUGCAGCCAUGCCGCGUGUAUGAAGAAGGCCUUCGGGUUGUAAAGUACUUUCAGCGGGGAGGAAGGAGGUGAGGUUAAUAACCUCGCCGAUUGACGUUACCCGCAGAAGAAGCACCGGCUAACUCCGUGCCAGCCGCCGCAGUAA